UCAGUUGGUAGAGCGCCUGGCCUGUAAUCCGAAGGUCAGGGGUUCGAUUCCCUC
rnacentral:tRNA from 1 species